GAUGAAGACGCAGCGAAAUGCGAUAAGUAAUGCGAAUUGCAGAAUUCAGUGAAUCAUCGAAUCUUUGAACGCACAUUGCGCCCGCCAGUAUUCUGGCGGGCAUGCCUGUCUGAGCGUCGUUUCGACCCUCGCGCCCGGCUUCUGUCGGGGGCGGUGUUGGGGAUCGGCCACACCCUUCAGUGGGAGGCCGGCCCCUAAAUUCAGUGGCGACCACGCUGUAGCCUCCCCUGCGUAGUACUAAAACCACCUCGCAGGCGGAGAGCGGUGCGGCCCGCCGUAAAACCCCCCAACUUUUACAAGGUCGACCUCAGAUCAGGUAGGAAUACCCGCUGAACUUAAGCAUAUCAAUAAGCGGAGGA
rnacentral:misc_RNA from 1 species